CUACAUUAUCCACCAAGCUGUAAUACGUCCAAGAAACCACAGCAAAGAAAUAUACAUGCAAAUAUCAACUGAAUACAUGCAGGGCAUGUUGGCUGUAAUUGAGAAGUACAAUUGUAUUCAUAAAGGUCUUAGGAAUGCUGGUCACAUGACUCUGCAGAGGACCAUAGGUGACUGCCUCACUGCGAUCGCAACAAGACUGCAGUGACAUCUGUGAAAAAGAUGAGAUGUGCAGUGAGAUGAAUCUGCAAGUCUAAGUUGCCCGCUGUCUAUGUGUCCUGCGGUGGACUGGCACCCCGUCCAGGGUGUACCCCAGCCUGAUGCCCUGCGGUGGACUGGCACCCCGUCCAGGGUGUACCCCAGCCUGGCGCCCUGCGGUGGACUGGCACCCCGUCCAGGGUGUACCCCGGCCUGGCGCCCUGGGGUGGACUGGCACCCCGUCCAGGGUGUACCCCGGCCUGGCACCCUGCGGUGGACUGGAAUCCUGCUCCCCCUGUUAUACUCCUGCUGCCUGGGAUAGUCUCCAAACCAUCCCGUGAAAGCAGGGUUUCCUGGGAUUUAAAAAAAAAAAAUCCAGUUCCAAGCCUUGGCAGACAGUCUUCCAGUUUGGAGGGAGGUGGCGUGGAGAGUGGCGUCACUCUUUAGAAGUGAAAUAUCCAGGAGUUAUGGAGCCGCACCGCAGUGGAGCCUGAAAUUGCUGCUGGUCAGAAGAAGCCAAGAGACCAGCGAGAGCUGUCAGUCAGACUUUCCGAGGGGGCGUCGGCCCGUGGGGGCAG